rnacentral:rRNA from 1 species
UGGGGAAUAUUGCACAAUGGGCGCAAGCCUGAUGCAGCCAUGCCGCGUGUGUGAAGAAGGCCUUCGGGUUGUAAAGCACUUUCAGCGAGGAGGAAGGUGGUGAGCUUAAUACGCUCAUCAAUUGACGUUACUCGCAGAAGAAGCACCGGCUAACUCCGUGCCAGCAGCCGCGGUAAUACGGAGGGUGCAAGCGUUAAUCGGAAUUACUGGGCGUAAAGCGCACGCAGGCGGUUUGUUAAGUCAGAUGUGAAAUCCCCGGGCUCAACCUGGGAACUGCAUUUGAAACUGGCAAGCUAGAGUCUCGUAGAGGGGGGUAGAAUUCCAGGUGUAGCGGUGAAAUGCGUAGAGAUCUGGAGGAAUACCGGUGGCGAAGGCGGCCCCCUGGACGAAGACUGACGCUCAGGUGCGAAAGCGUGGGGCAGCAAACAGGAUUAGAUACCCUGGUAGUCCAGCGCUGUAAACGAUGUCGAUUUUGGAGGUUGUGCCCUUGAGGCGUGGCUUCCGGAGCUAACGCGUUAAAUCGACCGCCUGGGGAGUACGGCCGCAAGGUUAAAACUC